rnacentral:rRNA from 1 species
UACAGAGGUCUCAAGCGUUGUUCGGAUUCAUUGGGCGUAAAGAGCGUGUAGGCGGCCCGAUAAGUCCGCUGUGAAAGUCCAGGGCUCAACCCUGGGAUGCCGGUGGAUACUGUCGGGCUCGAGUCCGGAAGAGGAGUGUGGAAUUCCUGGUGUAGCGGUGAAAUGCGCAGAUAUCAGGAGGAACACCAAUGGCGAAGGCAGCACUCUGGGACGUGACUGACGCUGAGACGCGAAAGCGUGGGGAGCAAACAGG